GACGAACGCUGGCGGCGUGCUUAACACAUGCAAGUCGAACGGAAAGGCCCUGCUUUUGUGGGGUGCUCGAGUGGCGAACGGGUGAGUAACACGUGAGUAACCUGCCCUUGACUUUGGGAUAACUUCAGGAAACUGGGGCUAAUACCGGAUAGGAGCUCCUGCUGCAUGGUGGGGGUUGGAAAGUUUCGGCGGUUGGGGAUGGACUCGCGGCUUAUCAGCUUGUUGGUGGGGUAGUGGCUUACCAAGGCUUUGACGGGUAGCCGGCCUGAGAGGGUGACCGGCCACAUUGGGACUGAGAUACGGCCCAGACUCCUACGGGAGGCAGCAGUGGGGAAUAUUGCACAAUGGGCGGAAGCCUGAUGCAGCAACGCCGCGUGCGGGAUGACGGCCUUCGGGUUGUAUACCGCUUUCGCCUGUGACGAAGCGUGAGUGACGGUAACGGGUAAAGAAGCACCGGCUAACUACGUG
rnacentral:rRNA from 1 species